rnacentral:rRNA from 1 species
CUACGGGAUGCUGCAGUGGGGGAUAUUGCACAAUGGGCGAAAGCCUGAUGCAGCAACGCCGCGUGAAGGAAGACGGAUUUCGGUCUGUAAACUUCUAUCAGCUGGGAAGAAAAUGACGGUACCAGACUAAGAAGCCCCGGCUAACUACGUGCCAGCAGCCGCGGUAAUACGUAGGGGGCAAGCGUUAUCCGGAUUUACUGGGUGUAAAGGGUACGUAGGCGGUCGCUUAAGUCAGAUGUGAAAGCCCGAAGCUCAACUUCGGGACUGCAUUUGAAACUGGGUGACUAGAGUACAGGAGAGGAAAGCGGAAUUCCUAGUGUAGCGGUGAAAUGCGUAGAUAUUAGGAAGAACACCAGUGGCGAAGGCGGCUUUCUGGACUGUAACUGACGCUGAGGUACGAAAGCGUGGGGAGCGAACAGGAUUAGAUACCCGGGUAGUC